rnacentral:rRNA from 1 species
CCGAAAGGUCGAAUGGGGAAAUUCAUUCGCGUUUCGAGCGUCGGCGUUGAACUGUUGCGUGACCGAUGGAGUCCGCUUCGUCAGCAUCUUCAGUUUUUCGAACCGACUUCGAACGCGUGCACUUUUCCCCUAGUAGGACGUCGCGAUCCGUUGGGUGUCGGUUUAAGAGCUGCGGUGGAGCUCGCGUAGACGUUUUCGGACGUUCUCUAUGCGAACCCGUAGUGUUCCGAUCGACUCGCUCGACGGUAUCAAUAUGGCGCGGGGCCGCUACUCAGUUAGCGUUCGACCUACGGCAAGCACGUACGGUGUUAAGACGGCGAUCAGACCUGGUCGGAUCCCGUCCCCGGACGACUGUUGGCAUACGUAGUGUUCUCGAACAGACCUCGUUGAAACGCCUAUCGGCGACGCUAUAGCUUUGGGUACUUUCAGGACCCGUCUUGAAACACG